rnacentral:rRNA from 1 species
UGCGAUUUGCACGAAUCUGUGAGUCAUCUAGUUUUUGAACGCAAAUGGCACUCUUAUGCAAGUAAGAGUAUGUCUGUUUGAGAAUCCCUAAACCGAUCAACACCCGUGGGUGUAUGGCAUUGCUAUUCUACUUUUACACCUACUUUGGGGAUAGGUAGUCUAGUUGAAUUCAUUACGGUUGUUGGACCAGCUCCAAAUGUGCUACAAGACAGUCGUCUUUUGUCAUUUGGCGCAGAGCGCCCAGCUAAAGCAGCCUCUUAUACUCCAAUAGGAUCUCAAAUUAGGCAAGAUUACCCGCUGAACUUAAGCAUAUCAAUAAGCGGAGGAAAUCGAAUUCCCGCGGC